GAUGAAGAACGCAGCGAAAUGCGAUAGGUAAUGUGAAUUGCAGAAUUCAGUGAAUCAUCGAAUCUUUGAACGCACAUUGCGCCCAUUAGUAUUCUAGUGGGCAUGCCUGUUCGAGCGUCAUUAAUUCCACUUAAGCCCUGCUUAGUGUUGGGAAUCUACUCUAGUGGUGCUACCCUGGAGCUACCCCUGAAAGGGGGCUGGCCCGGUAGCUACCCUGUAGUUCCUCAAAGAUAGUGCGCGGAGUUGCGUGGUCCUCUGAGCUUAGUAACUAUACACCUAGCUUUUGAGUGUCCCGCGGCGCCUGCCGUUUAAACCCCAUCUUUUAAUGGUUGACCUCGGAUCAGGUAGGAAUACCCGCUGAACUUAAGCAUAUCAAUAAGCGGAGGA
rnacentral:misc_RNA from 1 species